AAGAAGAGAUGGCAUCCUUCACACCGUCUCUUUGCUGCUUUCAACAGCCAUUACACGCUGUACUGGAGCUGAAAAAAUAUUGCCGCACCCACCAGGACCCUUCUCUCAUGGACUACACAAACGUGUGUUUGACCUGCCAGGGCUCCAGAUGUCCUGGAGCAGCUCUUAAAGACCAUCAGACACCAGGCUGGAGCAGAACUGUAGCACCUGUCACACAGUGGGCUCUUCUCUGCUAAAUCUCCCAGAGAUAUGCCCGUCUUCAACAAAACCUGAGGUAAUGUCUUGGUGAACUUGUGUUCAUUUCUUUAUUCCCAGUAAUCUUAUCUGCUGUAUUAUUGCUUGUGACGUCAUUGUACAGCUCUGCUGGUAUCAUUGUCUUUAACAGCAGUGUUUUUUCUCAGGUCUUUUUCAAGCCAGUUAAGAGAGGAAGAACAGCUUAGACACUCAGGCAGCUGAACGCACCAAAGGUAGACAUCAUGCAGCCACCCUGAGCCUUGAGCCUCUCUGUGUGAGGAAGCUUUGCUGCUGCAGACCUGGUGAAGUGGCUCUGAAAAGAAAUAUUUAGCUCUGCAGCAGUGCUGAAGGUAUUCAUUGUAAUUGUAUGUGUAUUUAUUCAGCAUGUUUAGUUUCAUAGAUUAUCAACACAAAUGUUUCAGUGUAUUUCCUGUUUUGAACCAGCUACAUUCUCCUACUUCAAAUCAGUGUCUGUUCAUCCACAGUGUAGCCAGUGCAGCUCAGCAGAGUCCUACUGAUGGUGAUCCUUAAGUCCUGCAGUCCUGUGAAGCAAGCUGCAGCAAAUAUCACAUUCAGCUCAUCAGUUCAUCCUCAUGGCAGCUUUAAACUUUCCCUGAGGUAACGCUGUAUUUCCUUGCCCCAUAACAACAAUCUUUUUUGACCAACAAACAAAAGCACAGUAUUACUGUUAGAACAUGAUUUUUGUUUUGAUUACAAAGUUCAAGUGAAGGGGAUUUUGUUUUGUUUUUUCAGGCCUCUCCUCCUCCUGCCUGACUCCAGUGAUGCUGUCAACUCAAACACUGAUAACUGCUCACAGCGAUUCUACAACCACAGGUCAAAGGUUAAAACAUCACCUCACUUUAAACCUUCACUCUGAACUGUAGCGGGCUCUGCUUUUGGUUUUGAACGAAAGUGCCCAGACAGAACACAGUACUCACUUGAGGAACUGACUGAUUGUCUUCAGGACAGGACAACUAUUACUCUUAUACUGUUUUGAAUUGUGGUUACUACAUUGUGUGAUCAGUUGUAUCUGUUGAUAUUUUAAGUUUCCUUUGUGGGUUAUUUUUUACUUUAUUUUUUUCAUUUUAUCUUAGUGUUUCCUUUCC